rnacentral:rRNA from 1 species
ACAAUGCUGACUAAUCCUGAUGUUCAUUGUACCAUAGCACAUCCGCCCGAGAAUUACGAGCACAAACGCUUGAAACUCUAAGGACUUGGCGGUGCCCCAAACCCACCUAGAGGAGCCUGUUCUGUAAACGACACCCCACGCUACACCCUACCACUUCUCGCCAGAAUACAGCCUACAUACCGCCGUCGCCAGCUCACCCUAAUUGAAGGGCGCACAGUGAGCACAAUAACCACCCCGUUAGCACGACAGGUCAAGGUAUAGCCUACGAAGUGGAAGUAAUGGGCUACAUUUUCUAAUAUAGAACACUCCAACGGAAGGAGACAUGAAAUUGUUUCCAGAAGGCGGAUUUAGCAGUAAAGCAGGAUAACAUAAGCCUACUUUAAGUUGGCCCUGAGGCACGUACACACCGCCCGUCACCUCC